rnacentral:rRNA from 1 species
UACGUAGGGUGCAAGCGUUGUCCGGAAUUAUUGGGCGUAAAGAGCUUGUAGGCGGUUUGUCGCGUCUGCUGUGAAAUUUCGGGGCUCAACCCCGAACUUGCAGUGGGUACGGGCAGACUAGAGUGUGGUAGGGGAGACUGGAAUUCCUGGUGUAGCGGUGAAAUGCGCAGAUAUCAGGAGGAACACCGAUGGCGAAGGCAGGUCUCUGGGCCACUACUGAUGCUGAGAAGCGAAAGCAUGGGGAGCGAACAGG